rnacentral:lncRNA from 1 species
GGCGGCGGGUACCAGAGGUCCUCCGUGGAUGGUUUGUGGCGUCGUUGUCGGCGGUGGGGGUGUAUAUCUUUUUCGGUGGAUGGUUUGUGGCGACGAGUGAUGUUGCCGGCGGUGGGAACUCAUGGUGCUGCGUCCUCCAACCGGCAGAUUUGGGGAUUUCCCUUUUUUUUGUUUUUUUUUUAUUUAUACUCACUCAAAACGACGUCGUUUUGAAUGCCGGUGAGUCCACGUCUGAAAAUUCCGGGAGCCACGUCAACACCGAUCAAGGUGGUGGUCAACGCGUGUGCAAUUUACAACCAAAUUAAAAGGUGAUGUAUUCUGGAGCUAAUUUUAAAG